AGGAGUUCGGCUUUUCCAAGGGAGGCAGGGAGGGAGGCUUCACACCUUGUGGAGUCUUUUUACAGUAUGCAGGGGGAAAUGGGGGGAAGGGAGGAGGAGGCUGGCAGUGCCACUGCCCACCUCUACUGAUCUUGGAUCAACAAGGAACAAAAUGUACUGGAAAGAGAAAGAGAAUGGGAAGAAGGACAAGGACAUCACAUUUGGGAACAUAUGUAUCAGCAAAUGUCACGUAUGCCUGUGAACACAGCACAAUAGAAUACUCUAUGAGUACGAGCGUUUCUAAGGAGAUCUGCUAGCAGCUAUCCUCCAGGCUGUUUGCUUUUGUGCUAAUUUCCUACCUGGUUAAAGAAUCUUGUGAACAUGAUGUUUUGAUUAGUUUUAUGUAGAAGGUUAAGAAGUAAGCAGGGGAGGGGAGUAGAAACAGAAAGACAACAAGAUAAGGCCAAUUGCUGCAAUAUGAGUCAUCAUGAACAUUUCCUCUAAAAGAGCCCAGCAGCUUUUGCAGCAAUCAUGUCACACCAUAAUUUCUUUGUCCUUAAUACUGUGCAAUUGGGAAAUAUAAUAUACUAAAAGUCUAUCCCUUUUUUUUUUACUAUAGUUCAAUGGUAUCAUGGACAAAGGUUCACAGUCACAACUUACUGUAUAUACUUAUGUAUAAGUCUAGAAAUAUUAGUUGAAAAUUGACCCCAGAAACCCUGAUUGACAUAUCCCUUGGUCAAUGUUAGUACUGUACCUUAUCAAAAAGAAGAAACUAUCUCCUUCCCUUAGUAGAACGUUGAAAGAUGAGGUGUCACUCUGUCCUGCGACCCCAUCAGACGGGGAGGUUUUGUUUGUUUUUUAGCAAUUUAACACUGGUCUCGUGUCUUUUUACCAUUUUUACGGCCACUGACACAUCCAUUCACACAACGCAUUGCUAGUCAUGCCCCUUUUUGGCAUUUUUUGCGGGAUUCCCCCAUCAGCCACCAUCAGUUUGCUGCAAUUUUCUACAUCACAGGCAAUGCCCUGUUCUGAUUCCUCCACCCUUCACUUCCCAUCAUACGUGAGUUGCCAUGCUGCCGUAUUGUAGCCCCUGAAAUGUUACUGGGGGGAGGUCCCUGGAGUGCCUAAAAGAAGCACUGAGCUCUCUUUACUACUAUUGGCUUUCUGGAAUGCCUGGGUGAGAAAUUGGUGAGGGCUACGUGCAACAUGUCCCAAAAUGGCACUAGCACUUCCCCUCCCUACAGAAUGACCCUUGACUUAUUAAAAUCUGUAACUUUGAUACCAAAACAUGCCUUUGAUUCACAUAUAUACACUCAUAUAUAAUACACCCCUAAGAGUACUUUAGGAAUUUUUUUUAAAAAAAUCACAAUAAAAUGGCUGUGUGGUCCUGGUUUUACUUCUUUUUUAUGAUGUGUAAAGUCACUUUGGAAUGCUGACAAUAAGCAUGGACAAAAUGUCAAUAAACUCACAAGAACCCCACAAAAGGUUUCUGGUUAUUCAUAUGUCUAUCUAUUAUGUAAACUCCGCAGCUGACUAGAAACAGAAUUUUAAGCCUCGGGGAA
rnacentral:lncRNA from 11 species